UACGUAGGGGGCGAGCGUUGUCCGGAAUCACUGGGUGUAAAGGGUGCUCAGGCGGGUCAGUAAGUCAGGGGUGAAAUUUCACAGCUUAACUGUGAAUGUGCUUUUGAUACUGCUGGUCUAGAGUUCAGGAGAGGGCAAUGGAAUUCUUGGUGUAGCGGUGAAAUGCGUAGAUAUCAAGAAGAACACCGGUUGCGAAGGCGGUUGCCUGGCCUGUAACUGACGCUCAAGCUCGAAAGCGUGGGGAUCAAACAGG
rnacentral:rRNA from 1 species